AUUGAACGCUGGCGGCAGGCCUAACACAUGCAAGUCGAGCGGAGCGGCGGACGGGUGAGUAAUGCCUAGGACUCUGCCUGGUAGUGGGGGAUAACGUCCGGAAACGGGCGCUAAUACCGCAUACUAUCAGAUGAGCCUAGGGCGGAUUAGCUAGUUGGUGGGGUCAAGGCCUACAAAGGCGAUGAUCCGUAACUGGUCUGAGAGGAUGAUCAGGCACACGUGAACUGAGACACGGUCCAGACGCCUACGGUAGGCAGCAGUGGGGAAUAUUGGACAAUGGGCGAAUGCCUGAUCCAGCCAGGCCGCGUGUGUGAAGAAGUUAUUCGGAUUGUAGAGCACUUGAAGUUGGGAGGCGUUACCAACAGAAUAAGCACCGGCUAACGCCGUGCCAGCCCCCGCGGUAAUUC
rnacentral:rRNA from 1 species